GGAGAGAUGGCCGAGUGGCUGAUGGCACCUGCCUGCUAAGCAGGUGACGGGGCUUAUACCCCGUUCGCGGGUUCGAAUCCCGCUCUCUCCGCCA
rnacentral:tRNA from 1 species